CUGUAAAGUUUAUUAGGCAGGAACACGUCUGCCUUGUUUAUCACUGUGUGCUGGGGUCUCGCCAGAACCUGGCAUAUAGCAGGUGUUCAGUGAUGCUUUGCAAACUGACUGACUAAGUGAAGGAGCGAGUGAGUGUCCUUACAGGGAAGUCACCUCGUCUCCCCUCCGCUGAUGACCCGGAGGCCCACACGCAUCACGUCCCCGCCCUCCUUCAGCGAGGGCCUCCCACAUGCCCAUAUAUGGACAUGAUGCAGGCCGGCUCUGGCCCUCUUCUGUGACGUCCAGGCCUCUGUGACCUUACAGUGAGCAGGGCCCCUGCCACACCUAUAAGAGGCCCAGGGGUCAGCCCCUGGCUCACAGCCCACAGAGUUCCACCUGCUCACAGGUUGGCUGGCUCAACCAAGGCGGCAUCCCCUGCUCUGAGCAUCCAGGCCGAUUCCAUCCGUCACCAUGGCCAGAAACAGAUGCCGCAGCCCGAGCCAGAGCAGAUGCCGCCGCCCGAGGCGCAGAUGUCGCAGGAGGAUACGGUGCUGCCGGAGGCAGAGGAGAGUGUGCUGCCGCCGCUACACCACCACAAGGUGUGCAAGACAGUAAGCGCCCAGUAGCAAGACCACCACACUCCUGCCUGAAACGCUACCAGCCUUCAAGACCCUCUUGCCACAUCUCGAACAUGCCACCAUUCCGAUGAAAUGAACAGCAGCCUGCCAGCGAACAAUGCCGCCUGUCAAUAAACGCUGAAGGAAAAAUGUCA